CGCUGCCAGAUAUAAGAGUCCUGACGGAUCCGAAUAUUGCAUCAGCGUUCGUACAAAAACAAGAUAUGUUCUAUAUAAUGAAUUGGAUCAAAAUCCACCGGGUUUGUUCUUGUCCAGGGCCGCACGCCGCUUUCAGAGGCUCGAUUCUGGGGCCUGCCAAGUGGAAAUAGCAGCAAAAUCUAUCUCAGCCCAUCCUAUCUGUCUGCAUCACUUAUCUGCACGGAAAACCCAAACGCUUUUUGCUCUCGGUUUGCUCAGUCUCCGCUUGAAUAAUCGCCCACCUGACAAUGGAAUUUACACUGCGUGCCCCACAGCAGAUUUAGGAAUGACCCUCUGCUUCCCGCGAACCCCAUUUAGGCUUGACUGACAUCCUCCACAAACUCUCUUUCCUGUGCAAAAUCAAAAGAGCCAAAAGUGAUGAUUCACUAUCAAUCGGCUCUCUCGGGACAGUGAUUUACAAACUCGACCGCUCACCUCCCACACUCAUCCGGGCUUAUCCGUGGCUGCAGGAUCUCCUCAUACGAGCCAGGAUAUGGUCUGCAUGUUUUGAGAGCCUCCACGGAUACUUUUUUGCGGACAAAACAACAAGCAGAAUCCAAAUUGUAAAAAUUCGGUCUAGGCUUAUCCUUUCACUUUUACUGUUUUAAUCGUUCAGUGGUAGAUCAGUGCCUUUAGGACAGUAACCUGCAGUUAAUAUAAUGUGUUUACAUAUCUCAAUAUCUAUAUAAUACUUUUUUUUGUCAAAUAUGAUCAUGAUAUGAAAUGCUAGAGAACACAAAAUCGGCCUAUAGUGUGUUAUUUAUCUUUUUUUUUAAUAUAACUUUAGUAUUUUGCAAUUUUAUAUAUUGCAUAUUUGUAUAAAAUGUUGUCA